rnacentral:snRNA from 1 species
GUUCUAGCUUAGAUAGUACAUAUACUAAAAUUGGCAUGAUACAGAGAAGAUUAGCAUGGCCUCUGCUCAAGAUUACCCACAGAUUCAUGGAGCAUACCAUAUUUUU